rnacentral:tRNA from 1 species
AUGUUUUUAGUAUAUGAGUACACUUACCUUCCAAGUAAGAAGAUUAGUUGAUUAAAAAACAUA